ACCAGACUCCUACGGGAGGCAGCAGUGGGGAAUAUUGCACAAUGGGGGAAACCCUGAUGCAGCGACGCCGCGUGAGCGAUGAAGUAUUUCGGUAUGUAAAGCUCUAUCAGCAGGGAAGAAAAUGACGGUACCUGAGUAAGAAGCCCUGGCUAACUACGUGCCAGCAGCCGCGGUAAUACGUAGGGGGCAAGCGUUAUCCGGAUUUACUGGGUGUAAAGGGAGCGUAGACGGCCAGACAAGUCUGAAGUGAAAAUCCAGCGCUUAACGUUGGAAGUGCUUUGGAAACUGCCGGGCUGGAGUGCAGGAGGGGCAGGCGGAAUUCCUAGUGUAGCGGUGAAAUGCGUAGAUAUUAGGAGGAACACCAGUGGCGAAGGCGGCCUGCUGGACUGCAACUGACGUUGAGGCUCGAAGGCGUGGGGAGCAAACAGGAUUAGAUACCCUAGUAUC
rnacentral:rRNA from 1 species